UUACAUGUUAGAGGGAGUGUGGUAUAGUGACACAGUAACAGAGGGAUUGUGGGCCCUGCUCAGUGAGCUUACAUGUUAGAGGGAGUGGGGUAUAGUGACACAGUAACAGAGGGAUUGAGGCCCUGCUCACUGAGUUUACAUGUUAGAGGGAGUGGGGUAUAGUGACACAGUAACAGAGGGAUUGAGGGCCUGCUCAGUGAGCUUACAUGUUAGAAGGAGUGGGGUAUAGUGACACAGUAACAGAGGGAUUGAUGGCCUGCUCAGUGAGUUUACAUGUUAGAGGGAGUGGGGUAUAGUGACACAGUAACAGAGGGAUUGAGGGCCUGCUCAGUGAGUUUACAUGUUAGAGGGAGGGGGGGUAUAGUGACACAGUAACAGAGGGAUUGAGGGCCUGCUCAGUGAGUUUACAUGUUAGAGGGAGUGGGGUAUAGUGACACAGUAACAGAGGGAUUGAGGGCCCGCUCAGUGAGUUUACAUGUUAGAGGGAGUGGGGUAUAGUGACACAGUAACAGAGGGAUUGAGGGCCUGCUCAGUGAGGUUACAUGUUAGAGGGAGUGGGGGUAUAGUGACACAGUAACAGAGGGAUUGAGGGCCUGCUCAGUGAGUUUACAUGUUAGAGGGAGUGGGGUAUAGUGACACAGGAACAGAGGGAUUGAGGCCUGCUCAGUGAGUUUACAUGCUAGAGGGAGUGGGGUAUAGUGACAGUAACAGAGGGAUUGAGGGCCCUGCUCAGUGAGUUUACAUGUUAGAGGGAGUGGGGUAUAGUGACACAGUAACAGAG
rnacentral:lncRNA from 1 species